rnacentral:tRNA from 1 species
GGGGUUGUAGCUCAACUUGGCAGAGCGUCCGCCUCCAGAGCGGAAGGUUGCGGGUUCAAAUCCCUCCGACCCCA